UCUUUUUCCACCGGAGCUUGCUCCACCGGAAAAGAAGAGUGGCGAACGGGUGAGUAACACGUGGGUAACCUGCCCAUCAGAAGGGGAUAACACUUGGAAACAGGUGCUAAUACCGUAUAACAAUCGAAACCGCAUGGUUUUGAUUUGAAAGGCGCUUUCGGGUGUCGCUGAUGGAUGGACCCGCGGUGCAUUAGCUAGUUGGUGAGGUAACGGCUCACCAAGGCCACGAUGCAUAGCCGACCUGAGAGGGUGAUCGGCCACAUUGGGACUGAGACACGGCCCAAACUCCUACGGGAGGCAGCAGUAGGGAAUCUUCGGCAAUGGACGAAAGUCUGACCGAGCAACGCCGCGUGAGUGAAGAAGGUUUUCGGAUCGUAAAACUCUGUUGUUAGAGAAGAACAAGGAUGAGAGUAACUGUUCAUCCCUUGACGGUAUCUAACCAGAAAGCCACGGCUAACUACGUGCCAGCAGCCGCGGUAAUACGUAGGUGGCAAGCGUUGUCCGGAUUUAUUGGGCGUAAAGCGAGCGCAGGCGGUUUCUUAAGUCUGAUGUGAAAGCCCCCGGCUCAACCGGGGAGGGUCAUUGGAAACUGGGAGACUUGAGUGCAGAAGAGGAGAGUGGAAUUCCAUGUGUAGCGGUGAAAUGCGUAGAUAUAUGGAGGAACACCAGUGGCGAAGGCGGCUCUCUGGUCUGUAACUGACGCUAAGGCUCGAAGCGUGGGGAGCAAACAGGAUUAGAUACCCUGGUAGUCCACGCCGUAAACGAUGAGUGCUAAGUGUUGGAGGGUUUCCGCCCUUCAGUGCUGCAGCUAACGCAUUAAGCACUCCGCCUGGGG
rnacentral:rRNA from 1 species